rnacentral:rRNA from 1 species
CCUACGGGAGGCAGCAGUGGGGGAUAUUGCACAAUGGGGGAAACCCUGAUGCAGCGACGCCGCGUGUGGGAAGACGGUCCUCUGGAUUGUAAACCACUGUCCCCAGGGACGAAGAUGACGGUACCUGGGGAGGAAGCUCCGGCUAACUACGUGCCAGCAGCAGCGGUAAUACGUAGGGAGCGAGCGUUGUCCGGAAUUACUGGGGGAAAGGGGAGCGUAGGCGGGACUGCAAGUUGGGUGUCAAAUCUACCGGCUCAACCGGUAGCCGCACUUAAAACUGCAGUUCUUGAGUGAAGUAGAGGAAGGCGGAAUUCCUAGUGUAGCGGUGAAAUGCGUAGAUAUUAGGAGGAACAUCAGUGGCGAAGGCGACCUGCUGGGCUUUUACUGACGCUGAGGCUCGAAAGUGUGGGGAGCAAACAGGAUUAGAUACCCCAGUAGUC